GACGAACGCUGGCGGCGUGCCUAAUACAUGCAAGUAGAACGCUGAAGAGAGGAGCUUGCUCUUCUUGGAUGAGUUGCGAACGGGUGAGUAACGCGUAGGUAACCUGCCUUGUAGCGGGGGAUAACUAUUGGAAACGAUAGCUAAUACCGCAUAACAAUGGAUGACACAUGUCAUUUAUUUGAAAGGGGCAAUUGCUCCACUACAAGAUGGACCUGCGUUGUAUUAGCUAGUAGGUGAGGUAACGGCUCACCUAGGCGACGAUACAUAGCCGACCUGAGAGGGUGAUCGGCCACACUGGGACUGAGACACGGCCCAGACUCCUACGGGAGGCAGCAGUAGGGAAUCUUCGGCAAUGGGGGCAACCCUGACCGAGCAACGCCGCGUGAGUGAAGAAGGUUUUCGGAUCGUAAAGCUCUGUUGUAAGUCAAGAACGAGUGUGAGAGUGGAAAGUUCACACUGUGACGGUAGCUUACCAGAAAGGGACGGCUAACUAUGUG
rnacentral:rRNA from 1 species